rnacentral:rRNA from 1 species
GACGAACGCUGGCGGCGUGCUUAACACAUGCAAGUCGAACGGAAAGGCCCUGCUUGCAGGGUACUCGAGUGGCGAACGGGUGAGUAACACGUGGGUGAUCUGCCCUGCACUUCGGGAUAAGCCUGGGAAACUGGGUCUAAUACCGGAUAGGAGCCAUUUUUAGUGUGAUGGUUGGAAAGUUUUUUCGGUGUAGGAUGAGCUCGCGGCCUAUCAGCUUGUUGGUGGGGUAAUGGCCUACCAAGGCGGCGACGGGUAGCCGGCCUGAGAGGGUGGACGGCCACAUUGGGACUGAGAUCCGGCCCAGACUCCUACGGGAGGCAGCAGUGGGGAAUAUUGCACAAUGGCGCAAGCCUGAUGCAGCGACGCCGCGUGGGGGAUGACGGCCUUCGGGUUGUAAACUCCUUUCGCUAGGGACGAAGCUUUUUGUGACGGUACCUAGAUAAGAAGCACCGGCUAACUACGUG